AUUGAACGCUGGCGGCAGGCCUAACACAUGCAAGUCGAGCGAGCGGCGGACGGGUGAGUAAUGUCUGGGAAACUGCCUCAUGGAGGGGGAUAACUACUGGAAACGGUAGCUAAAACAGCAUACCACCGGAAGUGCCCAGAUGGGAUUAGCUAGUAGGUGGGGUAAAGGCUCACCUAGGCGACGAUCCCUAGCUGGUCUGAGAGGAUGACCAGCCACACUGGAACUGAGACACGGUCCAGACUCCUACGGGAGGCAGCAGGGGGGAAUAUUGCACAAGGGGCGCAAGCCUGAUACAGCCAUGCCGCGUGUAUGAAGAAGGCCUUCGGGUUUUAAAGUACUUUCAGCGGGGAGGCGUUACCCGCAGAAGAAGCACCGGCUAACUCCGUGCCAGCAGCCGCGGUAAUUC
rnacentral:rRNA from 1 species